AGGGGAGCUCCGUCCAUGACGGGGAUUUGUCGUGUGUACUUGUCAUGGAGUUGCUCUCUUGC
rnacentral:pre_miRNA from 1 species